AUACGGAGGACGCGAGCGUUAUCCGGAUUCAUUGGGUUUAAAGGGUGCGCAGGCGGCCGUGCAAGUCAGCGGUGAAAGCCCGGGGCUCAACCCCGGAAGUGCCGUUGAUACUGCGUGGCUGGAAUGCGGUCGAGGCGGGCGGAACGUGGCGUGUAGCGGGGAAAAGCGUAUAUAUGCCACAGAACGCCGAUAGCGGAGGCGGCUCGCCAGGCCUGCAUUGACGCUCGGGCACGAAAGCGUGGGGAUCGAACAGGAUUAGAUACCCUGGUAGUCCACGCCGUAAACGAUGGGCGCUCGUCGUCGGCGACAGACAGUCGGCGGCCAAGCGAAAGCGAUAAGCGCCCCACCUGGGGAGUACGGUCGCAAGGCUGAAACUCAAAUGAAUUGACGGGG
rnacentral:rRNA from 1 species